rnacentral:lncRNA from 1 species
AUUUGAUUCAAUUUGCCAGACAUUUAUAGACCACCCACCACGAACCAUCACAGUUCUCAAGGAUCUCAUGAUGUGGGGGAGACAGACAUGUCAUUUAGAAUUUCCAUACUGUGUUAUCAGUGCUGUGAUGGAGACAACACGCAUACUAGAAAUGUCUUGACUUUUACAAUUUUUGUAAUGAAAAUAAUCUGGCAAGCCUUCAAUUUUUAAAGUGCUUUUGGAGAAAAUAUCCAUCUUUGUGUUUAACCUAUUUCAUUUUACAGUUUGAGAUUAUUUCAGGGUCACUAGAUUAGAUAAGUGAUGGGCAGGUAACCCACAAUAGAGGUACAGUGUGUGUGCAUGACUGCAACUCCCAUAAACUCCCCUGCAGAGAAGUCCUGGAAGGAUUCUCGGGACGAGACAUUGGCAUAUGUCUCCCGGAAUCAAGGUGGUGCUGGGCACCUGAGGAAACCAGUGGGAUGUGAAGAAGGGGCUUCCAUGGCACUCCCCUAGGCUGGGCUGGAGCUUCCGUCUCUGCAGGAUGACCACCAUGCCCCCAGCCCUCCGCCUCCUCUGUCAGAGCACCCACCUCACCGAGGUGUCGCUGCCUAUCUCUAGUCUUCCUCUCCUGCCAGACUGUGGCGUUCCAGAGGGCAGUGACCUUUUCCUGUUUAUCUGCAGAUCCCCAGUGCCUGGCACAGCACCUGGUGCACAGGGAGCGCUCAAUAUCCUGGUCCAUCUUCAUCCCUGCACCCACGCGAGGAUAUCGUAGUCACAGACACACCUGAGGAUUAGCUAACAGAAAAAUGGUGUUCGACACCCUUAUCAAGGGUCUAUCUCUUCAUCUGGCGAUCUGUGUCUAUGUAGAUGUGUGCGAGUCACACAUACACACGCAGACACACAUACACGCAGAGCAGAAACUGACUUCAGUGCCAUUUUGCAUCAUCACCCCUAUUAGGAUUAUCAGAGUAUUGGAAUUGUGGGUAAAAGAAGAUCUAUUUCUUUUCCAAAGGGUGAGAAAAAUGGGAAGAUGUCAGGGAGAGGGAAAAGAGAGAAAAUAAAGUGUGUGUGUGUGUGUGGGUGUGUGUGUUUUGGGUGGGAGGAGGGAGAAGGAGAGAGGGAAUAUGAGUGAGUGUGGAGGGAGGAGGGGAAAUGAAAGGAUAUUAUAUAUUUUUUUGUAUCUGUCAUUUCCCUGCUAUCUCCCAUAUGACUUCUUAAUCCAUCAG